rnacentral:misc_RNA from 1 species
UUAAUGGACAGACAAGGAAGAAAAAGUCUUCUAAUUACAAGCUUUCUGGGAAUGGCUGCUUCCAUGUUGCUGCUUUCCUUGACCUUCACUUGGAAGGUCCUGGCACCAUAUUCUGGCACCCUUGCUGUUCUUGGGACUGUUUGCUAUGUGUUGUCCUUUUCACUUGGUGCUGGUCCCGUGCCUGCUCUUCUUCUGCCAGAGAUAUUUGCCUCAAGAAUCAGAGCAAAAGCAGUUGCUUUAUCCUUGGGCAUGCAUUGGAUC